GAAGCUUCUGUCCAUACCUUGCAGAAAAUUCAUCAAAGUCUGAAAGGAGGUCACAGAUGCGAAGUCCUGUCCUCGCAGCUUUCGAAGAAACCUCAUAGCAGAAGAAUGCUGUGUGAGCAAAGUGCCAGCGGUCUGCCUGGAGCAGGGAUCCCAGCAUCCUCUCUUCUUGCUCUUUAGGCAGGCCUUGGCCCGUCUUGGGGCUGCACCAGAAUUACCACAGACCAGAGGCUCCUUCCAAAAGAAAAUGACUGGGCUUUGGGAGGAGAUGAGCCCUGUCAUGUCCCACCAAGGGACCUGAAGAGAGUCCAGAAUCAGGUGUCUACUCUCUUGAAGCUGGAAGCCAGAAGACCACACAGAAGAUCUCCCUUCUCUCAAGCUCUCACCAGCUCUGCCCCUCAUAAAAGUACAGAGCAUUGAGUGAUAGAUCUCCAUCAAUGAGGAAGUCUUAUGCAAAUGACCUUCGAGCCAGCCAUUGGAGGAAAUGAAGCCUGUUUUUCAUGUGGAUUGUCAGGUUUGGUGGAAUGGAAUAUAAGAUUAAAAUCCAGAAACAAAAAGUUGUGUUGCCAGAAGAAGCAAGGUUUACGUGUGUGUGGAGGAGAAGUAGGCAUAUAGAGCUACUAGACCAUAGCUCUACCAGG